UUAACACAUGCAAGUCGAGCGGUAACAGAGAUAGCUUGCUAUCUGCUGACGAGCGGCGGACGGGUGAGUAAUGCUUGGGAAUAUGCCUUUGAGUGGGGGACAACAGUUGGAAACGACUGCUAAUACCGCAUAACGUCUACGGACCAAAGGGGGGGAUGCUUCGGCACCUCUCGCUCAUUGAUUAGCCCAAGUGAGAUUAGCUAGUUGGUAAGGUAAUGGCUUACCAAGGCGACGAUCUCUAGCUGAUUUGAGAGGAUGAUCAGCCACACUGGGACUGAGACACGGCCCAGACUCCUACGGGAGGCAGCAGUGGGGAAUAUUGCACAAUGGGCGAAAGCCUGAUGCAGCCAUGCCGCGUGUGUGAAGAAGGCCUUCGGGUUGUAAAGCACUUUCAGCGAGGAGGAAAGGUUAGUAGUUAAUAGCUGCUAGCUGUGACGUUACUCGCAGAAGAAGCACCGGCUAACUUCGUGCCAGCAGCCGCGGUAAUACGAGGGGUGCAAGCGUUAAUCGGAAUUACUGGGCGUAAAGCGUGCGUANGUGGUUUGUUAAGCAAGAUGUGAAAGCCCCGGGCUCAACCUGGGAACUGCAUUUUGAACUGGCAAAC
rnacentral:rRNA from 1 species